UACAGAGGGUGCGAGCGUUAAUCGGAAUUACUGGGCGUAAAGCGUGCGUAGACGGUUAUUUAAGUCGGGUGUGAAAGCCCCGGGCUCAACCUGGGAAUUGCAUUCGAGACUGAAUAGCUAGGGUACGGUAGAGGGAAGCGGAAUUUCCGGUGUAGCGGUGAAAUGCGUAGAUAUCGGGAGGAACACCAGUGGCGAAGGCGGUUACCUGGAGCUUUGCUGACGCUGAUGCGCGAAAGCGUGGGGAGCGAUCCGG
rnacentral:rRNA from 1 species